UUUACACACUCUUGAUCAAGACAGUGUGAAGCAAAACCAAUUUAUGGUGCCAACAAAAGCUUUAUCAAAGGAGUUCAACCACAAUUCUCAAAAGUUUCACACACUCUUGAUCAAGACAGUGUGAAGCAAAACCAAUUUAAGGUGCCAACAAAAGCUUCAUCAAUGGAGGGCAACCACAAUUCUCAAAAGCUUCACACACUCUUGAUCAAGAGAGUGUGAAGCAAAACCAAUUUAUGGUGCCAACAAAAGCUUCAUCAAUGGAGGGCAACUACAAUUCUCAAAUCUUCGAAGCAAAUUCAAGACUGUUCGAAGCAAAUUCAAUUUAUAUGGUUCAUCCAAACCUUCGACUACCACAAGGUGUGGCUUGCAUCACAAUCUCUUGCUCAACGGUGUGGAAGCAAAAUUUGUAUAUGUUGUCUCUCCCACAUUUUCAAAUUUCUAGUUUUCCAAAAAUAAAAAAAUUGGGAAAUUCAACAAAUUUCUAGUUUUCCAAAAAAAAAAAAAUUGGGAAAUUCAACAAAGCUUCAUCAAUUGAGGACAACUACAAAUUCUCAAAAACUUCACACUAUCUUGAUCAAGAUAGUGUGAAGCAAAAUACUUCACCCACAAUAGCUUCACCUACAAAAGCUUCACCCAUAAAAGCUUCACCAACAAAAACUUCACCCACAAUAGUUUCACCUACAAAAGCUUCACACAUAAAAGCUUCACCAACAAAAGCUUCACCCACAAAAGCUUCACCCACCAUAAAAGCUUCACCCACAAAACAAAAGAUUCACCUACAAAACAAAAGCUUCACCCACCACUUCACCAAAAGCUUCACCCACAAAAGCUUCAUCCAUAAAAGCUUCACCGACAAAAGCUUCAACCACCACAAAAGCUUCACCCACAAAAAAUUCACCCACCAGAAAAGCUUCACCAACAAAAGCUUCACCCAUAAAAGGCUUCACUCACAAAAGCUUCACCCACCAUAAAAGCUUCACCCAUAAAAGCUUCACCCACCACAAAAGCUUCACCUACAAAAGCUUCACCCACAAAAGCUUCACCCAUAAAAGCUUCACCAACAAAAGCUUCACCCACCACAAAAGCUUCACCCACAAAAACUUCACCUACAAAGCUUCAACACAAAAGUUUCACCUACAAAAGCUUCACACUAUCUUGAUCAAGAUAGUGUGAAGCAAAAUCAAUUCAUGGUACCCAACAAAGCUUCAACCUCAAAGCUUCACCUACAAAGCUUCAACACCAGAGCUUCACCCAUAAAGCUUUAAAAAAAAAUUCAAAAAUUCAAAAAAAACAAUAAUUGCCUAGGCCUCAUCUUCUUUGGGCCUAACAACUUUCAUAACAAAUAUAUAUAUGAAGGAGGAGUUUUGGGCUACGACUUAGAAAGGAAAUGCUUCAUUCGUCAACUCCUUUAACCGGAGACUUGGGGGACUCCUACCAUAUGCUACUGCACCUUGAUACUCGGAAGUCUCACGACCACUCAGUGACUUGGAUUUUUCAAGUCUCCAACCGAGAAGUUUUCCUCACUCAGGAAAUUAAGGGAGCACUACCUCGACAUACAUGCUUCACUCACAAAGCUUCAACAUACAAGCUUCAACAAAAGAAAAAAUUCAAAGAACUUAGUGAAGAGGGCCUUGGUGUAUUUAACACAAUACGUUGAAAUGAAGCAAAGCUUGUUUAUUGAUAUCUCCGAUAAGUUACAAAUAUGUACAUAUACAUGAAUCAAAAUAAACAAACAAGAGGGAGCCUUCACAAAGGUUGCUCAGGAGAAGUCUCAGCAGUCUGCAGAGCCCCAGAAAGAGGAAGCAUCGAAGGGUGAUUAUUCAGAGCCUCAGUACUAGGUAGAGCCCUAGAAGGAAGAGGCACCGAAGGUUGAUCAUUUGGAGCUUCAUUACACGGUACAGCCCCAUAAGACAAAGGCAAUAAAUGCCUUUGGAACAAACCCACAAACCUCUAAUGAUCAAGUAAAAUCUAACCAUCAGAUUCCUGCAGCUGGUCGAGCUUCAUGUUCAUGUUUAUAGCAUAGUCAUGUGCGAGCCUGUGCAAUUGUUUAUUCUCAUGCUUGAGCCCUUUGAUCUCCUGUUUGAGACUUAUCACUUCAGCUGCCAAUGAUUCAACUUGGCGGGUUCGAGCAAAUAAGCAUUAGGCCAUAUUAGACACAAAACUUGCACACUGAACACUGAGAGCCAGAGAAUCCUUAAUAGCCAACUCAUCAGACCGUUUGGAAAGUAGUAUGUUAUCUUUGGGAGUGAAAAGGUUCCUGGCCACCACCGCAACUAUCAUAUCAUUCUAGAGUCCCCAAUGGUAAGAUGACCAGUAAGGGAUAAGAAGGAUAGGUGCCAUAUGUUGUCUUGAGAAGGCAUGGAUGCCUCUUCACCAAAGUUCAAGUCAAAACAAUAGUUAGAUGGGCCAGACAUUUUCAGAAAUGAUGAAGGAGAAAUGAGGUCCAAUAAAUCUCUGAAGUACAAAAAUAAGGGGAAAAUUCCUACAAACAAUAGCUCUCUUAAUGUACUUCUUGCACACAAUUGGUGCCCUUAUAAAAGAAAGGGCAACAUGGUCAUUCGUUCAAAAAUCGAAAAGGCACCACUCUUCGGAUUUCGAAGAUGCACCACUUUCCACAUACAACAUCAGCUCCUUGGGUACCACAGAUAACUUUGCCAAAGAUCUCUGACAAAGUUUAGACACAUAAAUUUUGAAGGUCCAGCUACCCUACUAUUACCCACAAAGGUAAAGGAACAGCACCACUGCUUGAUAACUGGAAAGUCCCUAUAUGUGUCAACCUCCGUGCUCCGUGGCAAGGCAGACUAGUAAAAAUGCCCAACCUUUACUCACAUUCGAGAAAACACUCCCAACAAGAUUAUUUGCUCAAAAAUCAAAGAGGCACCGCUCUCCGAAUCUCGAGAGCCAGACUCCCAACAUGAUUACUUUCUCAAAAAUCGAAGAGACACCACUCUCCAAAUCUCAAGAGCCAUACUCCCAACAGGAUUACUUUCUCAAAAAUCAAAGAGACACCACUCUCCGAAUCUCAAGAGCCUGACUCCCAACAGGAUUGCUUUCUCAAAAAUCGAAAAGGCACCGUUCUCUGAAUCUCAAUAGCCAUAUCCCCGACAGGAUUGCUUGUUCGAAAACCAAAGAGGCACCGCUCUCCGAACUUUGAGAGCCAGAUUUCCUUGGAUAAAGUUUGUCUGCAAUCUUCACACGCAACAUCAGCUUUCCAGAUACCACAGACAACUUUUUCAAAGUGCUCUAACAAAGUUAAAAUACGUGAAGCUUGUAGUUCCCACUACGUUACUAUGACCAAGAAGGGUAAAGGAAUAGCAUUACUACUUGUUGUUAGGGAGAGACUCCUAUAUAUGUCAACCUCCAUCCUCCACGGACAGGCAUACCUGCAAAAAUGCUCAACCCUUCCUCAUAUCUGAGAGGGCAUUCCCAACGAAGCCUCUCGAAAUACUCAGCUUUCUUCCCCCCCCCCCAAUAAUACCUAUGCAAACUAGCCACACCAGAGCAAGAGUAUCUCAUAUCAUCAGGGUCAAAAGCAAGAGUAUCCCAUAUCAUGUUUUUUCCCUGUCUUUUCCUUUGCCCUUGUUCUUAUCUACAAGACAAGGAAAAAGAGAGUAAUCAGUCAGCACUUGGAAUCAAGCUUCCAGUCAGGAACUGACUGCCUGGAACCCCUUGCCUGAUUACUUACCUAGCAUUGCUCUCGAGUACUCAUCUUCAACAUCUUAUGCUUCCAGAGAAGAUACCACAUCUGCCUGAGGAACAGAUAGGGCAAGUGAGAAGGAUACAAGGAAGCAUGUGGAGACAAGCGUAACAGAACACGUGCCGAUACAUCCACUACUUUGUCAACAACAAAAGUAUCACAUAUCAUCAGGGUCGAACAUAUUCUAGAUUUGAUGGACUUGUUUUGACCCUCAAAUUCUUGAGUCGACCUUAUAUUCUGGAGGAAACCAGAAAACCCUCCAGCCCAGUUCAAGAAUAAGCCUGUGGAAAGUUACUUCUUCAAAAGCAAAAGUAUCUCAUAUCAUCUCUUCUCCAUUUGCUUCUCCUUAUCCUUGUUGCUGUUUAAGACACAAGGAAAUGGAGAACAAUCAACCAAAAGCCGAAGUCGAACCUCCGAUCCAGGUUGCUUGCUUAGAAGUCUGAUUUAUUACCUUGUCUGUUACCUCCUUCGGCAAAUCUCCUAGCUCGACGACUUAGGGGACUCCUACUAUGGGGUUUGUAUCGCACUUGACCAACCCCAAAACUACAAGUAAGCUUCAAGUAAAAUUGAUACAUUACCUUGUGCAUCUUCAUCGGUUAAAGAUAUCACCCCUGGAUGGAAGAAAAGUACUUCCAGAGAAGAUGCCACAUUUACAUAUGAGACAGAUAAGGCAAGUGAAAAUGAUACCACACUUCGGUACUUAGAAGUUUCGUGAUUACUCAAUGGCUUGUAUCUUGCAAGUCUCCAAUCGAGGAGCUUCCCUUACUCGAGAACUUAGGGGAGCAUUGUUUGUACCAUACUUGACCAAUCCUGAAACUACUGAGCACCGGUCAACGUUAUACCAUCAAGGACACAAAAGAGUUUCCCUCAAACCAAGAGGCCAAUCACAGCGCGACACAUGUCGACAUCAGAAGCCAAUCAUAGCGCGACAUGUGUCAACAUCAGAAGCCAAUCACAGUACGACACAAUAUUUCCGAAUGUCAUUUAUACUAAAUCAUUCACUAGUACUCACUAAAGGAAAGCUUGAACCUAUAUACUUGUGUAAACCCUUCACAAUUAAUGAGAACUCCUCUACUCCGUGGACGUAGCCAAUCUGGGUGAACCACGUACAUCUUGUGUUUGCUUCCCUGUCCCUAUCCAUUUACAUACUUAUCCAUACUAGUGACCGGAGCAAUCUAGUGAAGGUCACAAACUUCACACUUUCUGUUGUACCAAAGUCUUUACUAAUUUUGUGCAUCAACAUAAUGCGUUCACAAUGCACAUGCAAUUCACAUAAGUGCCUUAUGAUGCAUAAAACGGAUGAAAUAUUUCCAUAUCACUGCAAUCAUAUUUCACAUCAUCAAACACGAGAAUAUAUAUAAAUAUAUAUAUUCCCUCUCUUACCAGUGCGAGAUUCAUAACACAUAUAUAUCUCACUUAAUGCCACAUUAAUCAUAGAAAUUAUGAAUAAUGCAAAAUCAAUGCAAAUCAUAAUUCACAAAGCAUAUUGUUCACAAAAUUUAUGAAAUAAUAAUGCAUUCACAUUGCAUAUCAUAUUUCACAGCAAUAAGAAUUCAAGAAUAUAACAAAUUAGGAAGUAGGAUCAUUCGCUCUGAUACCAAUUUUGUAACGACCCGAAAUUUCUAAUUCGGAAGCUAAUUACUAAGAUAGGCCCCAAAUUCAUUUUCUUAGCAAAUUUCACUAAAAGAUUAAUCUCAAGUAUUUUAUUAUGGCUGCAUCUAACUUUCUCGUUAGACUACCUACAUACCCUGCUAAGGGAUCAAGCCAUUCGUAGUUCACAUUACGCUUCUAGAACAACACACUAAAAUUUCAUUUUGAUCCAACGGUUGGAUCUGUCGACGUUUUAAUUUACUAACUUGCAAAUCUAAUUCGAAAAGAUCCGUACUUCCGAUUCCCGAUCCGUAAGUUCCUAAGGUCCUCAAAUAUUAUGUACUAUAAUGUAUCAAAAUUUGGUGGCAAUCCAACGGUUGAAUGGUCAUCAAUUACGAAAAAUUGUACAGUGGUACAAUUAUCCGAAAUUUUUGAAUAUUCGAAUCAUCGCAUCAAAUUUCAACGAAUGGACUUUGGAUAUGGGCUCAGGACAUCAAGAAUGUCCUGCUGUCCAAAAUCCAUGUAAAUAGAUUCUCCCCCAUGCGCCGCCACAUGAGCUACCGCGCAUGGUGGUUUCCGGUGACCGGAAACCCACUUUUUCUUCUAACUCCAAAUUCUACCAAAAUUUACAAGAAGAUAUAGCUCAACAAGAGGAACAAGUUUUAUACCUGCAACAAAGUCCAAAAGUGGACGGUAGAGGGUCAAUUCCGCUAAUAAAACUGGCAGGUGACUAAAGCUUCCCGGUGUCAAUUUAUCGCCCACGGUGGUCCAACAGGAUCAAACCUGGUCGGGAUAUACUCCUAGGAUGAUGGGCUAAAAAACCCAAGUGGUGGCAUCGGCCAUCGCUUUGCCGAUUCACCGAAAAAAUGAAAAGGAUGGCCGGAGCACCAUUGGUUUUCAUCGAUUUUUAUGGCUUCACACCGCCACAUAGGGUGGCUAAUCAAGGUGGUUCUUUGGUUGGAUUUUGUAGAGGGGAGUGAGAACUUCAACAUGGUGGUGGUGGCGUCGAAAAAUUCCACUUGAGUUAGCUGGAAUCGACCUCGGAAAAUGGGAGGUCAAAUGGGGGUUUUUCUGGGUUAUUUGGGCCUCAUCACUAGGUUUCUUGAAGUGGAAACCUACUAAUUUAGGCUAACUAAUUAUAGACUCCCUACUAACAGUAAGUCCACAUGUCUAAAAAGUCUCACUACUUCUGAGGCUCGUAACUUCUCCGUUCUAACUCGGAAUUAGGAUCUGUUUGCACCUACGCGCUCGUAGGGUUGUCCUCUAUUCAAAUAUAUUUAUAAAUACAAUAAAUUAUAUGAGGAUAAAAUAUGUGCUCAUCAAAAUUACGUUUAGUCAACGAGAGACAUUUUCGUCUUUUCACUUUCCGAUAAAAAAAAUCCAUAUAAUCAUAUAUUUUAAAUUUUUCAGGGUAUUACAUUAUCUGCCCCUGAAACCUAGGUUGCAGCGAUUGUAUAUGUCAACGCAUACUGCCACGGACAUGAGAUGGCAUAAGAAAAAGUGGGUUGAUGACGAUGUCCUAAGGCAUCCUACAGAUGGAGAGGCAUGGAAAGAGUUAGAUUGAAUGUUCCCUGAUUUUGUUAUUGAUUCUCAUAACGUUAGAUUGGGACUUGCCACUAACAAAUUUAAUUAUUGUCGUAUAAUUUUCCGUCAUGGAAAUGUAUGAAAAAAUAAUACAUGAUGAUGACUCUAUUGAUAACUAAGGAUCCUGGUAAGUUAGAUUGAAUGUUCCCUGAUUUUGUUAUUGAUUCUCAUAACGUUAGAUUGGGACUUGCCACUAACAAAUUUAAUUAUUGUCGUAUAAUUUUCCGUCAUGGAAAUGUAUGAAAAAAUAAUACAUGAUGAUGACUCUAUUGAUAACUAAGGAUCCUGGUAAGUUAAUCGAUGUAUAAUUACUGUUGUUGGUGGAUGAGCUAAAAGAUUUAUGGACACAUUAUCAUAUCGUUUUCUUUUGGCAGGCUUCUCAGAAACUUGAAGAAAAGUGUACGAAACCCCGAAGGAUCCAUUAUACAAGCUUGGGUGGCAUAUGAGGCGCUUACAUUUUGUGGAAUGUAUUUAAACGAUGUUGAGACAACUUUCAAUCAUCCUCCUUUCAAUUUUUGCCUAAAUCGCUCGACCAUUCGGAGAUCCGAUUUGUGGCGAGUCAUUUUCCAAGAAUGACAUGGAGGUAGCACAUUGGUUCGUACUCAACAAUUGUGACGAGACACUGUCAUACCUAGACGAGCAUGAAAAUAUGAUGAAGCAGGCACAUUCUUCACAUAUGUAUACCAAGAAACACUGUGAAUUGUUUCCGCAGUGGUUUGUCGAAUAUGUAAGGUUGAAGUGUUUUGUAUUGGACAUAUAUAUUGUACCAAUUAAAUUUGCUCGAACUAACAAAUUUAAAUGUUUGUCCAAUAUUAGGUGAAUCAACUGAAAGCAUCGAAUUCCCCCGUGUACAGUGAAGAGUUAUAUAACUUGGCAUUCGGACUGAUUUACGUUGAAUUGUACUCAGGUGCACGGGAUGACAAGUUGUGUACGCAAAACAACAGUCUUCAUGUCCCCAGGGGAGGUGAAAGUACAUACAUUGAAUUCUAUGUCAAACUAAUAAGUGUCGUGUACCAAGUGAUCCUAUUUAAGUGUCGAUGGUUUGAUACAAACCCAAAUAGGCAUGGAUGUGUGAAAAUAGAUCAUAGAUUACUAUUAGUGAACACUAUCAAAACUUGGUAUGAUGACGACCCUUACAUCUUAGCAACCAUGGCAAAACAAAUUGUGUAUCUAGAUGACCCUAAAGCCGGGAGGGGUUAGAAAGUUAUUCAGAAGAUGGAUCAUAGGAACGUGUAUGCUAUACCAGAACAAGACCGUACCAACGACAACAUCGACAAUGUUACUGACCAAUGUCUUGAAUCUUCAAUGGAAAGUGGUGCGGAAACACUCCAAGAUACUAAUCUUAUCCAAGAACCAUUUUAGAUAGAAGGAGUAUCUUCAAUCGAAAUACCGAUUCAGUCGAUCACAAUUGACCUCGGUAAUAUUCCACGAUACGAUGGUCCAGUGUGCACAAACGACGAUGGUGAUGUACCUAUCGAUGAUGAGGAAUGGGACACUGAAAAUGAUGAUAGUGACGAAAGUGAAAGUUAUUAUAGUUCGGAUGAAGAUUAAGGCAAUUUAUUUGUAACUUUUUUUGUAAAACACAUAAAAUGGUUAAUGCAUUAUAUAGAGUGAGGAAAAAAAAUGGUAUGAAUGAUUCCCAUUUUAUAUCUGAAUUACUUUGUAAAAAAAUUUGUUUUAUUUGUAUUUCAUAAUAAAUUGUAAACAAAACAAAACAAAAAAAAAAACCAAUUUAAAACAUAAUUGGGCGAUGCAUAAAAAAUUUCGGUCAGGCAAGCAUUUUAAUUUUACACGGGAUUAUUGAAUUUUCAGACACUUGAGUGACGAAUACAUAUGUUUCAUCACGCAAAGUAUAUUUGCGCAAUGAAAUAUAUGUAUUCGUCACGCAAGUGUCUGAAAAUUCAAUUAAGGCGCUUUUUUUUCAUGGAAAUUUUAAAAAAAAACUUGCACGACGAUUGUUUAGCCUUGUGAGACAAAGCCUCCGUCAUGCAAGAUUCUACAUUAUUAACCCCAUUUGUCUUGUCCCUCCCUCACUUCCCUCUUCUUCCUUUUUUCCCCGCGCAAUACGCUAUCUUUCCUUCCUCUCUAUCUCUGCCCGUCUCUCCUUCACUCACCUCGUCUCUCCGUCCCUCUCUUAGGCCGUCGCCGCUUCUUCUCCAAGAGGUAAUUUCCUCUUCAGUUUUUAGUUUCAAUUUUGUUUAUUGAAUGGGGGUUAGAAUUAGGGUUUUUAUUUUUUCAAAUUGGGGGCGGUGGGGUUAGAUUUAGGGUUCGUAAAUUGGAGGUUACAUUUAGGUUCUUAAAUUAGAGUUUUUAGGGUUCUUAAUUGGGGUUAGAUUUAGGUCUUAAAUUAGGGGAACGAUUUUGGGUAGUGAGGUUAGAUUAGGUUUUCUUAAAUUAGGGGUUAGAUUUAGGGUGCUUCAUUGGGGGUUAGAUUAGAGUUCUUAGAUUAGGGGUUUUUUAAUUUCAAGUACAGGGUUCGAAUUAGGGGUUUUUUUUAGUUUAAGUACAGGGUUCUUAAAUUAGGGAUUUGUUAAUGUUUUCCUGUGUUCUAUGCAUCCACAACAUUGCACUUACACUUUUCGCUGUCCAACAACCCUUUUAUUUAUUUAUCUUUAUAUUGUAUAAUUGACCUUUUUAUUUCUCUUUUAUUACGAUUAGAGGAAAUAUAUUUAUGUUUGUGGUUUUUAUGUUGGAAUUUAAGAUAUUGUAGGAUGUGUUCUCUAUUGUAGGUUUGAAAGAAAAAAAUUGAAUUACACUGUACAUUUGUGGAAUAAGUUUUUAGAUAUUUGCAUUGUUGACUGCCAUGAUUUCUUGAUAUAUAAUGGGGUAUUAGCCUUUGUUGUUGCCUUAUUAAUAUGAUAGACUCGGUUGUGUUGCUUGUUGAAUUCGGCCUCCCAAUAGUCAUGAAUGGAUUCUCUCCUGGGUCUGGCUAUACUUAAUUCACCAAGAAGGACAAAAAAUGGGAAAUUUAUAUGUAAAAUGUCUUUUCAGCCAAAUAGGGCAAUGUCAUGGUGAUUAGGUAUAACAAACCAAUAGGAUCACAUUAAAUCAAAUGAAAUCUGUUUGUGAACUCCAUUAUUAUUAUUAUUAUUAUUCAAAGAUAUGGGAACCCACAUGAUAUAAGCAAAUCUGUAUUUAACUAGUACAUAAUGAUAUGCUAUCUCUCACAUUGUUAGUUUGUUGUGAGGUCUUUAUUUAAACAUAAGGUAGUAAGGAUAUCCAAGGCACCUCACAUUUGUUUGGUUUUAGGUAGUAAACUUGUAAGGUUGUCCUUUAUGCUAGUUUCUUCUUAUAAGUUAUAAUUGUUAGGUCUAUAUCCUAUCUGAAUUGAUUAGUUUGUGUAUAGUAUAUUAGUUUUAAGUUUUGUUUCUGCCAAACUUGAAUUGGGUUUAAAAUUUGGGUUUUUAAAUUUCGUUUUAAAUUUAAGUUGAAAUUAUUAGCAUGUGUAUGGUAAGUUAAAUCUUUGUGUACGAAACAAAUUGAUUUUCAAUUUUGUAGAUGUCACACCUCAUUAGAACCCAAAGGGCGAUGACUUCUACACCUAGUCUGACAGCUACACCUAGUCCGACGACUACACCUACUAUUGCCACCACUGCUCCGGCAGAGAUGGACCAUAGGCCGGCCAAUCCGGUUGACCCAGUUGGUCCUCCAGUCCCACAGGCGCAGGCAUCGUCGACUUCUUCAGUGGUGUUGCCUGUUAGCGCUCGAUUUACUCACCGGUACCCCCGCACUACGAACCAGACGUCACCAUUGGGAUCCAUAAUCGAUGCCUCGGGUACACGGCCAAGUAUACAAUCCUAAUUCACUCCCUCAUUCCCAUGUUAAUUGAGUUUUGUUAUUUUAGGUUCAAUUUGUUAAGUUAUGUCAUGUAUGAAUUAAAAAGUUUGCAUUGUUUUCUCUUUUUUUGUUCGCAAUUUCUUCGCUUUCAUAAAUGGGUUUUGUCAUGAAAUAGAAAUUGUGUGUAUUCCGUAAUUCAUGUUUGUUAAUUUUUAUGUUUUUGCAAUUUUUUUGUUAAUUUAUGUGUCAUUUCUUAGUUACUGAAAUGGGUUUCUCACAUAAUUGAAAAGGUGGUGCUGUGGAAGAGAUUUGAUGCUGAGGAAAUGGCCAAAAUGUUUAACUGGGAAAUGAAAACCUUGGUAAUUAUCAUGAAGCUAAGUUUUUACAGUCGUAGAAGUUUCGGUUGUGACUGUUAAAGUCUUAAAAAUGUCAACGUGGAUGAGGUUAUAUGGAAUUGUUAGAGUCUUAAAAAUGUCAAUGUCGAGAGCCUGUGUAUACAAGCUCAAAAUUGGCCGUCUUAGGUGGCAGUUAUCGCCAUUUUUAGAAGUUUGUUGUGGUAUUUGAAAACGCUCAAAUUGGAAAUAUGUUCUAAUUAGGAGAAAGAAAAUAGUGGCCUCAAACAAAGAAGUAGCUGUGAUGCUCAAUAAGUAACUUUCAGGAGAAAUAAAGGAAGAAAAUGUAUACGAAUGUUAACUGAGUUUUGUUAUUUUAGGUUCAAUUUGUUAGUUAUGUCAUGUAAGGAUUAAAAACUUGUCAUUGUUCGAACCUUUUAUUAAACUGUUGUGAUCACUGUGUUGGAUAUGUAUAUUGUUUAUGUUAUUUUCAGGGUUUUGGGAAAUGUUUUAAUUAUAGGUGAGGUUAUGCUGAAAUUUCAGUAGGAUUUGUUAUUAGUUUUGGGUUAAUGAUUUUUUUUUUCAUCUCUUUGCAGCGAAGAAAAACACCUGGGGACCUUGUCGGCAAUUGAAGACGGCAAAGGUCACCUGGGUGACCAACGGUCGUAUCCCAAUCGAAUACGAUGAGCGACAUCGAGCAACACCAAUAGCAGAGUAACAUAGUGCAUUGGCCCACAACAUUGUGCAUGUCGUGCGGACCUUUGCCCUAUGCGGUGGAAGUCUUGGAAGGCGAUGCCGGAGGAGACGAAGAACACGGUGCGCAACCAAUUGUCCAUAAGUAGCAUCGCCUUUUUAAUACUUUUCAUGUAAAAGUUAUAUAUUUAUAUUUAUUACUGUCUUUUAUUACUAAUACUUUCAAAAUAUUUGUUAUAUUGCAAACAAACUACAAUUUGGAGGACAUGGACGAGGACAUGUUCGUGUACCUCAAUCGACUCUUCUCUGAACGCUACAAGCAAUGGAAAAGUGACAUGUUCCAAUGUUUCCAUCAGUUUUGAUGAUCCAUAGGUUGCUCUCGAUGAGGGUUAUCCGAAGGAGUUAGAGGAUCGACAACAUAGUUAGGUUUGGUUUUGCGGUCAUUUUCAAGAGCCGGGUGUGUUUUUAAUUACAACUUCUUUCAUUUUACUUUUUUGAAUUUUUACUAAUGUUUAUUAUUAUUAUUUUUAUUUUCUUUAAGUAUUACAACUCAUAUGUUUAGUUUUUUGUAUAACAGAAGAAGACGAAGGCGAACAAUAUCAAUCAGGAGAAGAAGACUUUUCUCCACCAUUUGGGUUCAAGGCCUUUCUCCUAUAGGAUGGAGGCGUGAUGGAAGGUAUAUAUUACAACUUUCAUUUCUAAUUUUAAAAUGUCGCUAAUAAUUUUUUUUUUCUUACUAACAUUUUCCUUAUCUUUUUCAAUUUCAGGAGGGUUCAAAAUUUUCAGAGAUCGACGUCUUUGCUGACGUUUAUGUUCGGCCUGGGGAUGAGUUGAUCGAGUCCUUUCAUGUAAUUAAUUCCUUAUGCAUUCAACAUUUAUACUAAUUAUUUCAAAUUGUUUUCUAUUAAUAAUCCAUGUUUUUUUUCACAGGUAACUAUGGUGGAGAAAAGUCAGUCGGUGCUUCAGGAGUCCGUCUCCUAGCUUCCCUCAGAUCGCCGAUCGAGUCUGUGGAUCCCCUUGAGGAUGCAGGGUUUCACAUCGUGACAGAGACCUUGGACCAAACUUUUGGUCAGAGGCCAGAGACUUAUUGUCAUGGGAUGGGAAAUACCAGGCAACGAGAGAUUAAAGCAUCAUCAUCCUCGCAGUCAAAGGCCCAAGUUACGGCUUUGACGCAGAAAGUCGCUGGCUUGAAGAGUGAGCUGGCAUCGUACAAGUCUCAAAUGUCGAUGCUUGUACAAGCCCUCAGUUCCUCUAGAAUACAUCUCCCCGGUUUUUCUGCACCAUCAUAGCCCUUCCACACCAAGCAAGCUCAGCAAUCAGGCCCAUUGACCUCCAACCCCAUCCCCAACCCGCAGCAAGAUUACCAAGCACCUUCGAACAACAUGCCUAUAGAUUUUUCCGCUUUUUUUCAUAGUUUUGUUCCUGCUUUCUUUUAAAACUUUAUAUUUGUACGUACAUUUUUAUUUAUAUUAUAAAUAAAUAAAAAAUUAUUCAUUAAUUUGCUUUUUUUUUUUUUCAUUAGUAUAAAAUCUUUUUUUUUUUUGUUAAUUUUCCUUUUAUUCUUUUUUUUUAAUAAAAAUUACACUUGCGUGACGACGACCAGUCGUCGCACAUUACCACUCGCCUCUUACAUUUUUCGUCGCACAGACUUUUCGAGACAAACUAGUCACAAAGCGCACUUGUACCCUUUUAUAACGUACUACGAAAACCUUCAUCCGUAUAACUUUAGCGCGACGAGUAGUAAAGCGUCGCGCAAUUUUUUUUAUGCGCGACAAAUUUGAAAUUGUUCAUCACGCAAUGUCAUUUUUCACAACCUUUGCGGGACAAAAUAUGUGCGAUGAUUUUUUGGUCGCUAUAGGUUUUGUGCGACCUAAUAAUGAUUUGCUCAACAAAAUCUUCCUUGUCGCGCAAACUGUUUAAUUUAGUAGUGGAAGUUAAGAAACAUCACAAGGUUGAGAGAAAAAAAAAGUGAGUCAAACCUGUAUGCUGAUAUGCAAAUUAAUUUAGUGAUAGCCAAGAAAGCAAGCACAGUCUGAAAACAAAGUAGCAUGAGCUACCAACGGAAGGGAAUUAUGACAUACCAAAGUUGGUGAAGACAAGCCCAUCUUAGCAAAAUUGUCCGCAACAACAUUUCCUUCGCGAUAUAUGUGAGAGACGUAGAAAGUCAUAUUCCGAAUGCGGUCCAAAUAAAUAGACCAUUGCGUACAAAGAGGCCAAGGAGGAUCAAAAUUAGUCGAUUGGAAAGCAGAAAUAACAAUAGAAUAAUCACUUUCCAACCAAAGACAAUGCCAACCCCGCUAAUAUACAAACUCUACACCAAUCAUAAUUGCUGAUAAUUCUGCAAAGAAAGAGUUGCGAUGGCCAAUCCCUUGGCAUAAACCACCAAGAAAUUGACCAUAGCAAUCCCUGAAAACUCCUCCACAAGUAGCAGGACCGGGAUUUCCUUUGGACAAAAAAUAUGUAUUAAGUCUAGUCCAAGGAACCAAGAAGAAGACCAAAGCACAUGAAGAAUUAUUGGCGCCUUACGAGGGAUAGGCUAGAUCCCCAAAGAAGAAAUGAUACAAGUGUCAAGACUAUAGGAAUAACCAGGAAUAAACUUCCCACCAAGAAUGACCCCAAAAUUGAUAGACAUGCAAAGACGACGAAAAUAGAUUGGGUGACCCUUAAAAAUAAACUUCUUUCGAGCUUUCCAAAUAGCCUAAAUAGUAGAAAAACCCGCAAAAAUCCAAAGAUUGUCCAACUGUUGGGAAAAGGGCUUACGUACGUAGGCAUGCCAAAAACAACCAAAGAAAUUGAAAAAGAUAAAGAGGUACCGAAUUGACAUGCCAACCACCUCCAAAGCUGCCUAGAUAUCCAACAAUCGAAGACAAGAUGAACAAUAGAUUCCUCGGAUUAAGACAUGAACAACAAAUGGACGCUAAAGAAAUACCACGUCAUUGAAGUGCACCUUCGGUAAGAAGUUUAUCAUGAAGAAGCUGCCAAGCCAAAAUAGACGAUCGAGGUGGGAUAAAAUGUCGCCAAAUAACCUUAGCCCAAGCACAAUCACUAUGUUUUCGUAGAAUAACAUGAUAGGCAAAAGAAAAGGAAAAUUUCCCAGUAGAUGUAGGCUCCCAAAUCAAUUUGUCAUCCUUUAGAUUUAAAGGCAAAGGUAGACAUAGAAUAUGCCGCGCUACAGAAGGGAAUAAAUUUACAAAAUAAUCUGGUAAAGGCCAACUUUGUGCUUCAAUAACUUUUGAAGCCCUAGGAAGAAUUGUAGGUGAAAUGAACGAAGAUAAUGAAGGGCCAAUAAUCAGGUUAUCCAACCAUUUGUCGAACCAAAAGGAAACUGACUUCCCAUCACUAAUAACCCAACGACUAUUAUUAUUCAAAAUAGGAAAAACAAGCUUCAACCCGUGCCACAUAGAAGAAUGUAAGUAGAUAUCUUGUUUUUUAACUCAACGUCCGUUGAAGUGCACUAAACCCUAAUGUACAUGAACAACCUAGCAUUGUUUAGGGGGCUUAGAGUUUUAUUGAAAAUUUGCAACGUGUUUGUACAAAACGCUUAUGAGGAGAUGUGUUUUCUAUAGAAGUUUUCCCAAACCAUUCCGUAAUAUCGAGUUUUGUGUAUGAGAAUUAGAACGUUUGGUCCAAUAGACCCUCAACACUGUUGUUGAGAAAGUCAACAUGCUUAGAUUAGAAUCCAAUCAACGUUGAUUUCAGCAAAUAUGUUGGAAUGAUUACCUUCUCACUUAGUGUUAAUUGUAUCAUUAGCCAGAUAUUAAUUUCAUGCUUUGUAUCAAUUGUAUUAUAGUAGGAAUCAAUUAUACAUACGGUUUCUUUCUUACCAAAAAAAAAAAUUAUACGGUUUCUUCCUGUAAAUAUUUGUGCAUGGUAACUUUAUAAAAUAUCAAUCAAAGAAAUUAAACCAUAAUAAAUUUAAUUAGUAUCUUACAGGAUGCAGAAUUUGCUAUAAGACAACAACCAUGACGAAUCAAUCAAUAUUGGAGCUACCCAAGUCAAACAAGGCAGACUACUAAAUGGUUCACUAUAUGAGUUUCCUAUCUAUAGUAUACACAGCUCAUAGUUGGCCUGGUAGCUGAGAGCUUUAGCUUGACAAAUAAUUGAGACAGAGAGAAAAAAAAAAAAAAAAAAAAAGAGAAAAGAAUGGCUAGUCUUAGCCCACCCCCUGGACCAUUUUAUGACUUCACUGUCAAGGUAAAUCCUUUCUAUCCUCAAUUACUUUAUGAUUAAUUUUCUUAAUUUGUUGCAGAUUGUUGGUUUAUUUCUUUUUGCAUAAUAUGAGCGAUAUAACUACUCUAGUCUAAAUACAUUACGGGGGGAGGGGGAGGGUUUGAACGUCGAGACGUAGUUGAUUAAAGAUGAAUGGCCUAAUCACCCGGUCAAUUCACCCGGUAAUGAACCACUUGCAAAGAUCAGUAGUUUCUUGAGUAAAGUAAUUAUGUGGUUUGAACUUCGAGAUGCAGUUUAUUAAAGAUGAACGGCCUAAUCACCAGGUCAAUCCACCCGGUAAUCUACCACUUGCGGAAGAUCAGUAGUUUCUUGAAUAAAGCGAUUAUGUUGAAUGUGUUGCAAUCAAAACAAUAAGCAUAUGGGAAUUUGGUAUUCAUUUUUGGCAUGUCUUGAGAAUUUUCCUUCGCCUGUUCGGAUGACAAGAAAAAAAAUCAUACCUGAAAGGUUAAAAGUUUAAACAAAUAUAUAUUGGGAACAGAAGAAAUGUUAAUUUGUGUUGAACCUUUGUUGGAGAUUCAGCUGAGAAAUGUGAUUUGUUUGUCUUGAUCUUGUACUUCUUUUAAUGGGGUUUUAAUUUGUGUAAGUGCAGGAUGUUAAGGGAAAUGAUGUCGAUCUUAGCCUUUACAAGGGAAAAAUUCUGCUGGUCAUCAAUGUUGCUUCCAAAUGGUAUAUGCACUACCUUGUUUUCGUCCCUAAUCAUGUUUUUUCAUUUUAUUCUUUGAUUCAUUGCUCUUUUUUCAAUGAUUUUUCCGGCAGUGGACUGACCAACUCAAAUUACGAUGAGCUGAAUGAACUGUAUCAAAAGUAUAAAGAUCAAGGUUUGCAUUUUGAACUUGUAUGGUUUUCUUACAUGUUCUUGAGCUGAUAUCUAUGUAGUUACUUCUCCUACAAGUUGAGUUCUGACUGCCCCUCUGUGAUACAUGCUAAUCUGCUGCUUGCUCGAAAACUUUCGAAUUAAUAUAUUGCAUAUGCAAUGAUCUAAUUUUUGUUAGAAAAACAUGAAUUCCCUCAAAAAUUUUGUUGAAAUUCUACCUUUUUCCAUUACUUUUCCCCUUUGUAUGAUAAAUUACGAGGUUGAUACAGGCUUUGAGAUUCUGGCAUUUCCGUGCAACCAGUUUGGUGAUCAGGAACCUGGAAGUAACAAAGAGAUUGAAGAUUUUGUCUGCACUCGGUUCAAAUCGGAGUUUCCCAUUUUUGACAAGGUAGAUCCAGAAAAGUAGAUUAUGUUGUAUGAUUGUUUCUAAUUUUCCAUUAGUUCGUAAAACAAUGAAGAGCGGAUGGUGGUUGAAGAUCUUUGUGUUUACAAGUUUAAGUUCCAACUUUCAAGGAUUUCAAAAUCGAUACAUUUAGGCUAUUGAAACUUUAAUAGCUGAAGUUUAAAAAUAAAAAAAUAAAAAUAAAAAUAAAUAAAAAUAAAAAAUAAAAAAAACCUAUCUAAUGAGUAAUGAGUGCUCAUUUUAAUUCUAUUUGAACUCUUGCAAAUUAGAACUUUCACAUGCGUUUUUCCCUACGGAUAUUUCAACUGCAUCUGAGAGCUAGGAUAGCAGGUAUUGCAAUAAUGUUAGAUCUUUCUUUCUGAAUCCGCCCUUGUUCUUGUGUUAGAUUGAAGUAAACGGAGAUAAUACUGCUCCAGUGUACAAGUUCUUGAAGGAAGGCAUGUGGGGAUUCUUUGGAGACGAUAUUCAGUGGAACUUUACCAAGUUUCUAGUUGACAAAGAAGGAGAAGCGUCUCACCGCUAUUAUCCAACCACACCCCCCCUUAGCAUCGAGGUCUGUUUCACAAAUUUAAUCAUGUUAUGCUGCCUCUGUUGUUUACUGUGAUUGAUCAUCUCGAUUCAUCUGUAGAUUUGUCAAUUUUUCUAGCCUUUGACAUACAUUUUCCACAGCGUGACAUCAAGACGCUGUUGGGAAUCGCGUAAGUAGCUCAGAUGUGAAGAUUUCAACAUAUGCUUGCCUUUUGCGUACACUGGAAUAAAAGUUAAAGCUUGCUUUGUGUAUGUAUAUUAUAUCAGAAGGCUUGUUAAAGAUGGAGGCAUGGUGCUAAUUAAUAAAACAUUAAGCAGUUGCAAUCCCUGCUUGUUUCUUAAACUUGAUUAAACCAUUUCUGUUCCUGAUGGGAUGAUGGAAAAUGUUUUAAUUGGCAGUCAGGAUUCAAUCAUCUUUCCUAAUCUGGAUAUGUUUGUUAUUUUGAUCACAGAUUGAUAUAUAGGAGAAAGACUUAGCUGGCUCUUUUUCCACGAGAUAUAUCUUUCAUGUUAGCACUCAUUGCAUGACCUCGCAUCAUGGUGAGUACUAUAAAAACUUUGAGGAUAUAUUUCUCAUUGGAGUGAGAUUUUAGUUAAGGGAUCAGCUAAGUAACCUUAUUUGAGGGACAACCUUGUAGAGCCAACUUCCCAUUGUACUUAAGGAUUCCACUGCAUAUCUUGUCUCUCUCAAAAACCAUCUCUACAAAAAUCAUCAUAACUGGAAACAAUAUAUCUGUUACCCUUGUAGAGCCAAGUUCACAUUGUUUUUCAACAAUCCAACCAUGUAUCUUGUCUUCCUCAAAGACCAUCUCUACAAAAAUAUCAUCAUAUUUGGAAACCAUAUGACUGUUAGAUUAAAUUAUAAUCCUUUUAGUGUUUUUUCGAAGCACCACAUUCAUUUAUAUUCGUCAUUAAAAUGGAUGAUGAGAUGUGAAAGCUGAAUAAUUUCAAGCUUUGUAUGAUCAGGAGGGGAAAUAAGUUCAAGCUUUGCUUUUGUGUACGUUUUACUAUAUCAUUGUGUUGCUUCAGGACUCGUUACUAUUGUAAUGUGUGGUGCUAAUUGCUAAAACAUUAUGCAAUUGCAGUACCAAGCCUGCUGUUUCACAGACUAAAUAAAACCAUUUCUAUAAUUACAUUUCUACUUGUGUGAUGAUUUACAAUGACCUUAUUGGCAGUGAGGAUUUAUGAUCUCCUCUGAUCUAGAUGUUGGUUAUUUUUAGUAUGUAUUUUGUUCUUAUUGUGAGGACUGAAGAAUUGUUUGAUGUUGAAAAGUCAAGAAAUCUUGCAGAGGCUUAUAAGGAGUUGGACCAUUGUCCAGUUAGAUUUGGAGUGACACCUUAAACACCUGUUAUUAACAAGAUAAUACUAAUAUUAGCAUCUUCACACAUGUUAACUUCCAUGUCAAUAAAGCUUUUCUUAAAAAUAAUUAUAUCAUACUUUUAAUAAUCUCAAUUACUAACAUAUUCUUUUAAUUAUCCAUGUGGCAUCACUUAACUUGUUUUGUGGAACCUACAUGGGUAUCACGUCAAUCCACUAAUAAAUUUUAAGAAAUUUUAUUUGAACUCAUCUAACAUCUUUCUACACUCAACUUACUCUCUACACCCAUAUUAUUUUUAAUUAAAGAAUUAAUAUAUUUUUAAACCCAAAUUUAUUACCUAAAGUACCCUACCAAACCCAAUUAAAAAGUAUAUUUAUCUUUACACCCAUUAUAAAAUAAAAUCUUAAAGAAACUCGAAAGUCAAAAAUCUUCUGAGUCCUUUGUCUCCCCUCCCACCUUGAGCUCUUUAGAAACAGAGCUUUUUGUUUUUCAAAAUUCUCUCUGCAAUUUUUUGCUGCAUAUUAUUUGAUUUUUUGAUAAAGUUUCAAAUUUCUACUGGAGCUGCCUACAACAUUAUAGCAUUUUCCAUGGUUGUUUUUUAUUUAUUUGUGUUUCGGUGUUUGUGUGUGUGUUUUUUGCUGCAAUUAUUUAAUUUUAUUUGAUGAAAGAAAUUCAUCUAACCUGCACUCACUAACAUGCACUAACCCAAGCAAUUUCUCAGAAGGAAAAAAAAUGUCAAUCUGAACUGCAACAAAUUUAUAAUAUGAAGUUGAAGUGAAGGGUUUCGUAUAGGAGGAUAGGUUAGCACGAAAACAACUUUUGCUUUCUGAUAUGCCAAAGCCAAACAAAUUACUAAUACUUCUACUUUCCAUAGAAAGGGUCUUAUAUAUCAAUACUUUCAUUACGACUGUUGUAGAACGUUGACGAAAAAAAAAUUGAAACCCAAAUACUCAUUUUUCUAUAGUCUAAGAAAAAUUGAAAUCAAACGAACACAAAUUUUCAUAAAUCGAGUUAUACUUUAGUUGGAGAAUUCAAAACUUUAAAAUCACCAUCCAUCGAUUUAAAAAAAAAUUAUUUUUCUCCAUAAAAGCUAUUAGGGUUUUAGUAAGAAUGAACACAGGAUAAACAAUGAGUGAUGAUAAGAUUUAAUUAUAGUGUGUGGGUUUAUUGAUAAAUUUUAUUUUUAUUUUUAAUUUCAUUUUGUAGUUGAUGGUAAUUAUGCAAUAAGGCAAAAAGGAUAAUUUACAUUUAAAAUUUAAAUUGGGUGUAGAAAGCGGUUGCAUGGGUUUAAAUAAAAUUUCUCAUAAUUUUUUUAUUGACAACGAUGGAAAGAAAACAUUGACGACCCAAAAUAAUAGAAGAGGACUAAAUUGAUGAGUUUGAAACGUAAAUGAACAAACUGAUGAGAUGGCAAAACAUGAAUGACUAUUUGUGAUAAAACCUUUUUAAAUACUAUGAACAAAUUUAAUAUAUCGAAUAUGAAGAGAGGAAAAAACCCUAAAGCAGCAUGCAACACUAAACCACGUCCACCGUUGUAAAGAAAAAGAAAGGCGGAACAGCCAUCGUUAUUUCACCUCCACUGUCAGGAAAAGGGAACCACCACCCCACUCUGAAUUUAUUUCACCUGCAUCAUAAUUUCAAGCACUAAAGAGCUGAUUUCCUAGAAAGCAUCAGUUAAAUUGGAGUUGUACGCUGGAUUGUAGCUGAUUCUGUGGCGGAGUUGAUUUCCAACAGCCUCUUCUGUUGAGCGUUAUUUCUCAUUGGCUACAUCCUCUAUGGGAAACAAGGUUUCUGGCUGCUUUACAACAAUGCCUCAAGGCAAGAUAAAUUAAGCUUAUUCUGUUCUUUUCUUCUUUAACCCUAAUUUAGUUUUGUACAAAAUAAACCCAAAAUUGCUUGCUGGAUUUUGCAAUUUUCGUUCACAUUUUUAUAUUGGCUGAAAAAGUUACAUAAUAAUUUAAUCCGGUUUUUUCACUUUUCAUCUACCUAAUCUGCCAAUUUUGCGUUUUCGCGAGGCUUUACGUUUUGUUAUUUAAAAAAAAUAAAUACAUAUUCUAAACGAAGGGAGAUUUCAAACACACUGCCAUCAACCCAAAAUAAGAAUGCGAUUUUCUAAACUACUCUUUAGUUUUUUUCUGAAAAGGUAAAGUGUGUUGCACAAUCAACCCAAAAUGAGAAUGUGAAAAGGCAAUGUUCAUGUGUUCCUUAAUUUUGCUGCUUUUGUAGCUAGCACAGGUACCUGUGGUACUUCAGAGUUGGGACCGGAUUGUAAAAUGCCAAGCCAACCCGAUGAGUACCCAGACGGAACAAUUUACGAAUACACUGUCAAGGUAAGCAAGUCCUGUCUUCAAUUAGUUUUUGCAUUUCUCCUCUCUCUAUUUAGCUGGUCAAUAUCACUUUGUUUGGACCCAAUAUCGCACCAUUGACCCCAUUCAAUCGAGGUUGUUGAAUGAAUUCACGAGUUAAUAGUAUUUUAAUAUUUUUCCUAGAUAUUACUAUUGGAUUAUCGUAGUAAUUAUCUUGUAGAAAUAUUUUAUGAGCUUGGAGAUAGGAUGAAAACGAAAACUGUUGUUCAACAAGAAGAUGGACUCAAUGAUAUUCUUGUUAAUUUUUUGGAGUCAAUACAAUGUAGAGAUGACCUUCAACUCCACACACAAAUCAAUGCUCUACGCUAACCCUCACACUUUUGAGAAAGAAAAAAAAACACUAAUUGCUUUACUGAAAGUCAGCACAAAUACCGUUUGGUUAAACAUAUUUGGGUUCACAGAUGACGGACAAUGACAAUCUAGUUAGACAGCGUUUCCAGAGGCAACCAGUGAAGGUGACAGUUUGGCUAAACAACACCAAGGUUGCAGAAUCAGUUUUAUUUUAGGAGUCUUGACGGUGUGGUUAAACAGGAGCUUUUCCUAAGUUAAACUAAUUAUCUAUCCUAAGUCUUUGCUUGUUAAGAGUCUUUGAUUCUUUCGCCUAACAAAGUGACUUCAUUAGCUUUCUCGGCGAAGUAAAAUGUUCCAUGAUUGGAUAUUUCCCAAUGACAUUCAAAGUUCAUUCAAACAGUCGAACCACUUUCACCAUAAAGACAAUCAUCUCUUUUGAGUAUCUUUGUCCCUAGAGUUUGGUACCGAUUCGACGCACUUAUAUUUUCACAAAUAUAGUUGAAGUUGCUAAACCUGGUGUAGAAGAUUGAAUUUCAUAGCAAAAAGUAUAAUUGUAUCUUCAGAUUCUAGAAUCCAAGGCCGGGAGUGUUCCUUCCGACACCUGAUUAUGAAGUCAGGAGCAUAUUCCAUCACACUCAAAAGUAUUUGCCCGGCCGAGCUCUACAGCAAAUUGGCAUGCCUGCAUCAGCAAUCAAUCACCAAAAGACGUAGUUAACUCUUAGUCACUCAGCCUGACGCCACAUCUAUUCUCAAGAGAUGGAAUGGAAAAUUUUGACUCAUGUUUUUUGAAAUGAUGUGUGACGAGUGGUAAAUUUGUCACACGAAAAAACAAUAAUGCAUGCUUUUCGAAAUGAUGGGAAAAGAAUUCUCGAGGGAAGCCAAGGGUAUGAAUUUCAGAGUGUUUACCAAACAUUGGUAUGAUAUCUCAUACUCAUUCCAAGGCUCCAAUCUGCAAACCAAACGCCAAAUGUUAAUCUCCAAAUUGUAAAACAAUAAUUUUGAAGAGAUGAGAUUAUAUUGGAUAUAUACUCCCCUUUUGGAAUGUUUGAUAAUAUUCCUCAAGUGUGGCUUGGGUGCCAAGACAAAAGCAUAAUUGAAAGGGAGAGAAAGAAACACUGACACAACAUUGGAAAAACACAAAACAUAUGGCUCGUUUCUUUGUUGGGAAUAUGAACGAAAAAUGUUGAUUUGUAUUUGAUUAAAUCCAUGCUAGAAAUUCAGUUUAGAAGUAGUAUUUUUUGUUCUUUGGUUUAUAGUUCAUCAGAUAGUUAAUAAUUUAUAUGUUUGUGCAGGACGUUAAGGGAAAGGAUGUCGAUCUCAGCAUGUACAGGGGAAAGGUUGUGAUGGUUGUUAAUGUUGCUUCCCAAUGGUAUUCCUCAUAUUCGGCUCUUCUCGCAUUUAUUUGUUCUUAAUUUAGGGAAUUAUUAUUAGCACUUUAAAAAUUUCAUUCUACACUCCUCACAAGUGUAUUUUUCUUUCUAAUUAUAGAAAGUUUGGAGUGUAAAAUGAGAUUUUUGGAGUGCCAAUAACAAUUCCCUUAAUUUAUUUCUUUUGUAAAAAGAAAAUAAAAACUCUAUGAUCAUUGUUGAUUUUCACUGAUUUUGCAGUGGAUUGACGGAGGAAAAUUACACGGAGUUGAAUCAACUAUAUCAAAAGUAUAAAGAUCAAGGUUUGCAUUCUGUACUGUUUUGCAGCUUCAGCAUAUAUUUCUACUUUUCUCUUUUAGUUCUUUUUUUGUAUGAUGUACCGGGGGUUUCGACACAGGCUUGGAGAUUCUGGCAUUUCCGUGUAACCAGUUUAAUGCUCAGGAACCAGGAAGUAAUGAUCAGAUUCAAGAGUUUGCCUGCACUCGUUUCAAAACAGCAUUCCCAAUUUUUAACAAGGUAGAUUCAGAACUGAAACACUAGAUUAUGUCACGUCUGCAUGCUUUCCAACAGCGUAAACUUACUAGAACAUUUAGGCAAGCCAGAAGAUUAUUCGACUGGAUGCCUCAUGCAUGUAUUGUCUUUGUAAAACGGCGAACUGCAUUGUAACUAUAAUUGUUCUAUAUCAGCGGUUAUUUGUAACUCCCUUAGAACUUUUGCAGGUUAAGAAUUUUAAAUGUGUUCUUGGUCGGUAUUGUAAUUAUUUCAGACAUCUGUAAAUUUACCAUUUGUGUUCUCUGUGUUAGAUUAAAGUAAACGGCCUUAAUACUGCUCCGUUGUACAAGUUCUUGAAGUUAGGCAAAUGGGGAUUCUUCGGAGACGAUAUCCAGUGGAACUUUGCUAAGUUUCUUGUCAACAAGCAAGGAAAACCUGUCGGUCGUUAUUACCCAACAACUUCCCCCCUUAGCCUUCAGGUGAAAACUUAGACAUCGAAUUCACAAAUAUAAUUAUGUUAUGCUGCUUCUGUUGUUUAUUGCAGUGAUCACCUGCAGGUUUUGUCAAGUACUCUAGUUGUGUGACAUUGUAUUAUUUUUGCAGCAUGACAUAAACAGGCUUUUGGAAGCCUCGUGAAUUAUGAAUACUGUGCGAUGCAAAGGCGUUAACCCGAGGGUGCAUGCUCCCCGCCGGUUUCACUAAUCGAACAAAACGAUAUCUGUUCUUUGUGUGAUGAUUGACAUUGGCCUAGUUGGGAGUCGGGACGUAAUCAUCUAUUCCGAACCAUUGUUGACAAUGACCUGUGACUCAAAAACUCACUAGCUUUAUCUAGUUUACUUUAAAUCUUGUAAAACACUGGUAUGUUAAUUGGUUGUUAGGAGUGUAAAGAUGCUAAUCUCGUGGACAUAAACAUUUGAAGAAAACUGCCCGUCUGGUGGCAUUCACGAAAUAAAGGUCCGAUGGAUAUGGUCACGCCACCAUCGCCUAACUCACACCUGUUUGAGCCGACGGGGGAUGAGCAUUCCAUGUGGUGUUUUUGAUUGCACUGUUGUGCUUUGGAUUCGAUGCGUUUUACGUUUUUCCAAUCAAUACAAGCAGUGUUGUCCCUAAAACACUCCCAUAAGAUCAUAGUUUCUUAGGAGUGGUAAACAUCGUAAUGGUUCCAAAUUGUUACACAAGGGACUGCACAUCAAGAUACCAGACAAAUCAAUGAGAUUAGCGGGAUGCUUGCAAGUGAUUAUCCAAGGGGCUAUAAUCACUUCUGAGGCCAUAAUCGCUUUUCCUCAGAACCGAUGGCUCUUUUCAUAAUCACUUCCAAACGAGCCCCAAAUGGCUUCAGACAAUGCUUCAUCACCUAAGUGGCGAAACACAAGUUGCUCCGAAGACAGAAAAAAUGAAAGAGAGACUCAUUCAUCCAUGCAUAUGCAGCAUACAAUUCUGCAAAUUGUCAUUUUUGAAUCGGUUACAAACUUCAAAAGGACUUUUGAUUCAAAUAGGAAGUUUCCACCUAAAAGCCAAAAGAACUUCUUGCUACUGAUGAGUAUUUUAACCUCCACACUACUUGAAACUUCCUCAACGAGUGAAUUAUGUCACCCAAAACAUCCCCCUGAGUUACGGAUUUUGUUACAGAUUAUGUUAGCACAAACUUGUUUACCCACCAGUGGGUGAACAAGGGUCGGAGAGUUGCAUCACAGAUUCAGUUCAUUUACAACAACACAUAUAUACAAAACUGGCAUGUGUCUGUUGCAGCUUAUCUUCACCCUCGAGUCAAGUCAAUACCGGUGUGGGCAUUUCUCAAAUCAACUUGCCGCGAGCCAGGCCAAAUGCCUGCUCCGGAGGGAUUAUAAUUUUGAGUUGGUGGGGCACUGCUUGGUAGACCCAAUUUCUCGCUAUGCUGUGCCUCGGAAUUCUCAUCGCUAUUGGGAUCAGCCAGUUGCUUGUUCUUGGUCUUGGAGCCACCAUAUACGAAACUGCAAAGCACAACCUGCAACAACACAUGAAUCAGAUCUCUCAAUAGGUCUCCACAUUCCUUCACUACAAUUAGAACUGAUAAAAAGUGCUUUUAAGAUCGUCCAUCGUCCAAUGCUAGACAAAUAUCACGUCACAACAUGUGCAUGUGCAGACAACCAGCAGGAAAUAGGCAUUAGCAUUGAGCCUAGAAACGUUGAACAAAUUAUUGAGCAGUAAACAAAAUACCUGCACUGGAGUUGCUGCAAUCAGCACUGCCACAGCACCACCAAUGACAUGACCAUUAGGAUUAGAAAGGGAAACGCUUAUUCCCCCUGUUCGAUUGCGAGGUCCACCAACCUCCAACUACUGCUUGAGUCGAUAUUCAUCCAAUGCUGAGUUUAUCACGUCAAUUACUUGUUAUCAGCUGAUAUAUGUUAGACAACCAGUUUACCCAUUAGGGUGCCAGGAAACGUUGCAAUUAUUGAGCAGUAAGACAAAAUCCCUUGUUCUGGUCUGUUGCUUUUCAUCACACUGCCAACUAGUCAAGACCAAUGACCAAUUGUUAGGAUUCUCAAAAACUUGUAGCCUAAGUUCCAAAUGAUUGCUGGAGGUCCACCAAUCCUCUUAUCAAGAAUGACAAAUUUGAUUGGUGGGGCACUGCUUGGUAUGACCCUUGAAUUUUUCGCGAUGAGCUCCAGGCCUUGGGAAUUUUUGGCUAUUAUCUGCUUUAUUUUUGGAUCCAGAAAAACCCCAACCUGCUUGAUUUUCUUUGGUCCCAUUGAAUGAGAUACCAGUGCCCCUAAUUACGAAGCAUGCAAUGAGCACUUAACUGCUGAUAAUCAACAAUAGAAUAAACAGGAUCUCAAUUUCGAUAAUAGGUCAUCCCACAUCUCCUUCACUACAAUUAGAACCUGAUAAAAGUGCUUUUUUCUGAUCAAGACCAAUUGUCCAAUGGCUAAGACCAGAACUCAACAUGUAAUACCACGAACUUACGUGAACAUGUAUAACCAUGUGCAUGUGAGAGAACUUAACAUAGCCAGCAGGAAAUAAAGGCAAUAUUAGCAUUGAUCUGCUCCCAACCAAACGUUGAGUCUGCUCCAUAACUUUGAGACAACUCUCAAUUACAGAAAAUGAGAUGUGUUAUACAUAUAACCAACCACAAACUUGCACAAUGAGCCUGGACAGCUCUUCGCAAUCAUAAACGUUACAACACAUCACUAACUGAACUAAUUUGCAACUUUGGUAUUGGCAAGAAAUGUUUUUAUAAAAUGAAAAAACAUGAAGCAUAUCCCACUCUUGUAAUUAUCCGUAAUUUAGAUAUAGUCCAACAUAAAAGGAAAAGCAUCUAAAUUGGAAUUCUUUCUUAGGCACAAUAACGAGCAAAAUUAGAGAUAAAAUUGAGUUAACCUCAUAUGUGACACUGACACCAGUAGAUGCAGGCUCGCGUAGAGUUACUGAAGACACUGCACCAUUUCCUGACAAGAUGCAUAGCGCCCUUGGUCUCUGUUGUGCAAACAACAAUAAUUUUGCAGCAAUGUCCUAUAGAAAAACAAUAAGGAAAAAAUUUUUAACAGGGGCAGGAGCUCAUGUGCAUUUAAGCAAUAAAUCAACACAUAAUUAUCAUCCAAAAGCAAGUAAUCUGGUUGCAUUAACCAACUCACCUAUAAAACCAGACCUAAGAGAAUGCUUUCUUUUGGUAACGUGUAACAUUUUUAUGUUAUUCUCAACUCUAGAAUAUAAAUGAGCCAUUCCAUUAACCUGAAUAUGUUGACACUGUACAUGUUACUAAGGAAAACUCCUAAUGCUUUAACAAAAUACAGGUUACUAAAGACCCUAACAGAUUAUGAUCCAGAAACAAUCACUGCAUUCCAAUUUAUCUGAAGCCAACUAUAAACAAGGGCGCUUGGUAUAGCAGUGCAGCAUCCUUUUUUCUGCAGGCAAAUUAAAAAAAGGGUUUUUGAACUGCUUUAAAAAAAGCUAAAAAAAACCAUGCUUAAAAUGACAUGCAAAUAAUGACAAAACAAAUUUUCACAAAAGGGAUGUUGCAACACACUGGAAAUAUCAGGACAGGCUAAAGCAACUCCAUUGUAGAUGAAAGAUGUAUAUACAGCAAAUACACAAGUGCAAUACAAGACAUUUACUAACUGAAUUAAUUCAGCUUUAACAUAAAAACAGCAUACAACAGCAUAAUUAGCAUAGAAUCUCUCAGGCUCCAAUAUGCCACUGGGAAGACACUGCUACAGGAGUAUAAACCCUAGAUUUGAAUAACAGUUGCCAUUUUAAGCUACCCCAGCCAAAACAAGAAAAUCCAGACAUAAUGACCAAUAAGAAUCUUUAAGCAUAAGAACCAUUGAAUCAAUGAUCAUAAUUCUAUAGGAACUAACUGGUCUAGGGAGAAUAAGCAUCAUCAUAACCAAAGUAUGCAAGACAAUAACUAUAAAUAACGAAGAUCAUCACAACUGAAUAACCAACAAAGGUUCUCUGAACUAUACAUGUUUCAUCUCUGUUGGCUUAGUGAGCGGUACCAAGAAUUAAUAUUAGAACCACCUCAUACAAAUAAGCAAGAUACUUAAUGAACUGCGCUUUAACUGUAGAACAAACUGUAGAAGCUAAGCACAAAGUGCACUGAUAUUACCACAUUGAGAGAGAGUUAAAACUAGCCACUAAGAGUAACACAAAAGAUGUACCAAAUUGUUGUUGUGUCCAGUAGCCAAGCCCAGAGCCUGCCCAUCAACUACGUUUCGGGGUUCCGGGUGCCUGCUAAGUAGGUCUUAGACCUGGGAGACAAGGCCCAGGGGAGCCACAUGGAGACCCGCCUCCCUCUUUUAUGAGAGGCACGAAGUCACCCAGAGCCGUUCCUGCCACUCCUGUCUGAAGGCUCUACUGAGAAGUUCCCCAGAGCCAGGUCCCAGAAUCUCUGCCAUGAGUCCCUUCAACCACACUAGCAUGCACACGCGCCCUCAACCCUAGAUAGUAUGGCUGACCCACCAGACAAUCCAUUGCACAUACUAAGAGUGUCAAAAAAACCACUUUUUUGUCACCUAAAGAUUGCUUCUACAAACCCUCUUGGUCAAUUCUUCAGAAAAAGGAAAAUUCGAACAAAAUGGGGGAAAAAGUUAAAACAUUAUUUUCAAAAACCAAAAAAACGAGGGAAUAUGUAAAGGCCCUUUUUGGUUAUUGGAAAUCAUACCCACGAAACAAGUAACCAAGUGACUGCAGAGCUUGAACAGUACGACCCCUACAGACCCAUCACAGAAAAUGCCCAGCAAAUACCAAAAUGUAGAAAAUCAGGAGCUCAGGGAGCUACAGAGAAGCAAGAAUAACAACCUGGCAGCUCUUGAGCCACUGCCUCAGACACGGCAACAGAACAAAACCCUAGAUUUCAAAUCUAGGGUUUUGACAGGAAAAUGCAGGAGGUGGAAAAGGGGGAAAAAGGAGGGAGGAAAAGACAAAGGGAAGACGGGAAGGGGGGGUUGGGGUGGAAAAAAUGAAUUGAAAAUUUGAGGUUUUGAAUUAAAGUUGUGAGUGUGUGUGUGAGAGUGAGAGAGAGAGAAAGUGUGUGUGUGUGUGUGUGAACUGUGAACUACUAAUUGAGAGAGAGACAGAGAGAGAGAGAUAGAACUUUUUCCUUUUUCUUUAGUCUGAUCUGAUGAGGCCUGAGGGGAGUUGUGGUAUGGUGUGGUGUGGUGUAAGUAUCUCUGACUAUUAGAUAGGAAAGGCCUAAUGCUAUUGGACAGACAUUGUGGAGUACCAACCAGGAUGUCCUCAUCAGAUUGCCCUUGCUUGGGGCACAGAGCCCUCCAGGACCCCCAGUCCCCACAUUCCUCUCCACUCUCCCUCUCUCACUUCUCUCUCUCGUUUCUCUCUUUAAUGACCCCUUUGGUGUUGGCAUCUUUUGCUGGGUUAGGUUCAACGGAUUGUUUAUCUCAUGUAAACAGUGCUAGGAGACGAAAGAAAAGUAAUACUUUAGUUAUUGGAAUGGGUUAGAAAUUGGUCAUGGGCCGGUCUCAAAUGGGAGACAGAUUGUUAUAGAAUGUGAGUUUAUUUCUUUUUCCGAGCCACUAAUACAAGAUCGUCAUGAUUUUUUCAAACUACUACUACGAGAUCGUAUGUGGAGAGUUUAAAAUAUAGUAUUGUCGUAUAGAUUUAAUGGCAUUGUUUAAGUGAUUUAAGACGUCACAAUGACAAUAAAUCUAUUAAGUAUAAAUGUAGGGAAAAGAUGUUUUCCUUCAAUGUUAUUGGCGUAACAAUAUCGAGACAAAUGGAGCAAUAGCAAAGUCAUAUGGAUUAUAAACAAAUUAAUUAGUAAUUAGCGUGGUCAAUAAAGUGUUCAUUGUUAAGUUACUGGUCUAAAACUAAAAUAUAAGAACAUGUUUUCAAACUUGACUAUACAAGUGGGAGUAAAAGUCAUGACCCACAUGACACCCACCUUUGUUUUGGUAUUUUAUACCCGAAUUUACACUCUCUUGUCUAAUUGAAUCUAGCAGUCCAAAUAAAGGUGAAAAUGAUAUUAUGUUAAAUUACACCCAUGAUUUAAGUGAUUCGAAACUUUUUUUGGUCCAAAUGAAGAUGAUGGAAUGGACCCAAUCAAGGCUAGCCAAUGUAAACUAUCACCAAUUAGGAAGAUUUGAGUUGAUUGAUGUGAUCACGAGACAAGGUAUAUGGACUUAACUGAAACCUGUAAAUACAAGCUUCAAGGAAAAGAAAAUGAUCCCCAAUCAAACACACAAACUUAUCAUUUUAUUCUCCUCAAUUCCUCUCUAGGAGCAGCGCAAUGUAAUCCCUAGUCUAUCGCUUUUCAAUUUCCUUUCAAUACAAGUUUUUAAUGUACUUUAUGUUAUUAAUUAGUUUAUUUUGUGCAAGUUAAAUGCAGUUUUCUUUUUAAUUUUUAAUUUUUUACACACUUUACUUUCCGUCUUGCUUUUGCAAUUUCAUUUAAUUUCAAAGCACUUUUAUUUUUACCCACUCACUCUUCAUUUAAUUUACUUUCUCACAAGUAGAUUAAUUUUAAUUUCAUUUAUUCUAAAUUCUUUUUACUUUUUCGCUCAAUCCUUACCUUCACCAUUUAUCAUUAUUUUGGUUGUUGCUUCAAAGCCUUGUCUUUGAGGUAAAAAACCGUUCAAUCGUUUGAUUAGAAGUCAAAUCUAAGGUGCAAACGCAAUUCACGCUCACAUUUUUUCUACAUCGGUCAAUUUAGUUCACAUGGUGACACACACUCACGCAUCAAAACAAAGAAAGACUAAAUCCUAAAAAUAAAAAGGGAAAAAGUUUUGGCAUGCCCAGUGGCAUACUGUCUAUGAGCAACCAAUAUGGAUUGUAAUAUUCAUAUCGGUGGAUAAACUACGGUGAGUAUGGGUUUAGUAGCCAAUACAUACGAAAUGAACAAUAUGGCUUUAGUGGCCAAAAUGACUAAGGCAACCAAUAUGCCUCUGUUUAGGCCGAAAAAUAUUGGUUUGGGCCGAGCACUAAGUUGUUCUCGACCCAGAGACCGUACUUAGGAGUCAUUGGGGGUCAUCCAGUUUAUGGGCCACAUAGCCAAGGCCGGCCGUGUCCUAUUAGGAAUCCAUGGGUAGUUGAAUCCUGAUA
rnacentral:lncRNA from 1 species